rnacentral:sRNA from 1 species
ACCGAAGUCGUCGCCGCCGCCACUGCCUGGGUCUCCGGCCGCCCGCGCGCUGCCUCGGUCGGGGCCCGCAGCCAUGGAGGAUUUCAUCGUGAUCUCGGACGACAGCGGCUCUGAGAGCUCCGGGGCGCCCGCCCGGGCCGGUCGCGGAGGCUGCGCCGGGCCCUGUCGCGAACCCCGGCGCGCUGCCCCGCCGGACCGUGGACUUCAUUGACUUAACUAGAGAGACCAGACCAAGGACAAAAGAUCGCAGUGGACUGUGUGUGAUUGACCUGACAAGAGCUGAGGGAGAAAACAGACCUAUUGCCACUCUUGACUUAACUUUAGAACCUGUCACUCCUUCCCAGAA